CCUUAAGUUUAUGUGUGCCCUCCACAACACAGAAACAGGGCCAUGGUAAGCAAGUCACCGCCUACUUCCGACAAGUGCACUCCGCCUUUUCUUAAAGUACCCGGGCAGUAUGCCCUCCAAUUCCCUAUGCCGCACCUCCACAUCACCUACUCUCCGAAUAAAAACCGGCAUGGUUUUAUUCACCUUUCCCCGACAUCAAGCCACCACAGCUGGAUCACUGACAUGUCUCCAAUUAAACAGGCACAAUUUCUGACCAUACCACCACCAUGCCAGAAACCGGCUCCCGCAGCUGAUCCACAUCCCUCUUCAUCCACCGGACUAACUCCCUUCGGGGAACUAAACCUAAAUCAUUCCCCCCGCCAUGAAUUAACACCAUGUUCGGGGUGGCCCCACCGCAACCCACCUGAAAAUCGCUCCACUGAUUCUCUGCCAACUGAAUCCCUGAAAGCCAAACCAAACCAACGCCACCAUCUGCAGAGAAAAGCCUAGCUGUGCUCCUUGUCUCCGAACUGCGGCCCUCUUCUGUGCCCAGUAGAUGUAGGAGUGUCCCACCAGCCAGGCAACCCAACCUAAAAAGAAACAAGACAAUGACACAGCAGAGCAACAUCGAAACAAUCCCCUACCAACCCCCAUCACACCAACCUGUCCGGCCUUAAAUACAAACAGAACCAAAUAGAUUCCCACCUCCCUUUUCGUUUAAUCCGCUCUUCCCCCAAGCCAAGGCGCACUGCCUCCGUUGCUGCUCCUAUCCUGAACAAGUGCGUCCCAAACUGCAUGGCGUCCCAAUCUCUGAAGACCUAAGCGGAAGACCCUAACAAACUGAAACCGAGGCAGCGCAUAACCAUCAGCAUGUACCAAAUGAUGGGGGUUCUUUGGAAUUUUCCCACGCUGUGUAAUUUAACUCAUAACUCUCUGAUUGGUGGAUUAAGUAACCAAUCAGAGAGUUAUGAGUCAGCCACGUCCGGCCCCCCCGUCAGAGGCCCAUACCUUCCCGAACUGCGACGACGAAACCCCUCCACCUGACCAGGAAUCUAAAAAUGAUCUCAAACAGCUCAACAGAGUCCCUGAGUGUGGUGCAUGCAGCGACUCACCGCCAGGACCCCUGGCCGUCUGUUCGGAUGAACUCCCACCUGCCCUUCCUCCCCACGCUCUCGCCUGCUAUGCCUCUCCCUGCUCAGCCCUGCUACCUGGCCCUCACAGCCGUAAGUGGUACACCCUCGCGAACUCCUGUCAGACAAUCUAGAUGCGCUGCACAGAUUCCUCCUAUUCCUAUCCCUUGAAUCUGACCUCCUCCUACUGCGCCGGCUGGGUGAUGGGCUAUGCCACCAGGACCAGACUCACCGGGAUGUGUCAGGGUGCCUCCACCGACAUCCUCACGCCCAGCCGCACUCCCGUCCUCGUGGGAACCCACCACCUGUUGUGCCGUCCCGCCAGCCGCCUUGUGGCGGGCAUGCUCCGCACGGGGAGCCUUGUCCUGGCCGUCGUCCUCGCCCGGCCGACACCAGGUCGGACAGACGGCACCGGCCGCAUGCUCACCUCCUCCGGUCCUCCAGCCUCCGCGCCACUCGACGUCUCCUCACUUCCGGCACCAUACCCAGACUCCGCCGCUAGGGCGGCAGCGUCCACAGCGCCAGUCGCCGCUCAGGGACCGGCAGCCGCACUUGUCUCACCCAGUUGCUCCUGAAGCCAGGCCAUCCCCUGGUCUCUCACCACUGCUCAGACACCCACCAAGAUCUAGU
rnacentral:lncRNA from 1 species